rnacentral:rRNA from 1 species
GACGAACCGAGCGAACGUUGUUCGGAAUCACUGGGCUUAAAGGGCGCGUAGGCGGAUUUGCAAGUCCGUGGUGAAAUCCCACAGCUCAACUGUGGAACUGCCUCGGAUACUGUGAGUCUCGAGGGUGACAGGGGUAUGCGGAACUAUCGGUGGAGCGGUGAAAUGCGUUGAUAUCGAUAGGAACUCCGGUGGCGAAGGCGGCAUACUGGUCCACUUCUGACGCUGAGGCGCGAAAGCCAGGGGAGCAAACGGG